rnacentral:rRNA from 1 species
AGUGAACGCUGGCGGUAGGCCUAACACAUGCAAGUCGAACGGCAGCACAGUAAGAGCUUGCUCUUACGGGUGGCGAGUGGCGGACGGGUGAGGAAUACAUCGGAAUCUACUUUUUCGUGGGGGAUAACGUAGGGAAACUUACGCUAAUACCGCAUACGACCUACGGGUGAAAGCAGGGGAUCUUCGGACCUUGCGCGAUUGAAUGAGCCGAUGUCGGAUUAGCUAGUUGGCGGGGUAAAGGCCCACCAAGGCGACGAUCCGUAGCUGGUCUGAGAGGAUGAUCAGCCACAGGGAAACUGAGACGCGGCCCAGACUCCUGGGGGGGGCAGCUGUGGAGAAUAUGGGAAUGGGGGCGCAACCCUGAUCCAGCCAUACCGCGUGGGUGAAGAAGCCCUUCGGGUUGUAAAGCCCUUUUGUGGGGAAAAAAAAACAGCAGUUUAAUACCCCGCUGUUCAGACGAUACCCAAAGAAAAAGCACGGGCAAUCGUCG